CGCAUGAGCAGCAGGACAAAUACUAUCCCCCAGUCAAUGCGAGGCACGACAUGCUCCAAUAAGGGACAUUUAAUUCGGGCAACAAGGGUUCAAAGGCCCCCCCGACCGAUCAUGUUUCUGCAUACAGGACUUCGAGCGACACGUGGGCUUCCGAUGCCUGCUAUAAGCCUUGAAUGACCAAGCAAGGGCAGAUGUCCAGGUGGGCUUCGAUGUCUACAUCGUACAAAACAUUUAGCACGAGAUAGAGAAGCGAUUGUGGGACUAGGAAAUUCCAUCAUAUUAGGUAUGCUCACAGGGGGCCAAGGCAACCAAGGCAAAAGGUUUUGCACUCGGACUGAAAUGAAGAGGUGUGAUCCUGUGAUUGUCGCUACCGAGGCAGGGAACCAACUACAGGGAACAUACC
rnacentral:misc_RNA from 1 species